UUAUACUUGUUUGGCUUUCUAACUAUUUUGAUCUGAGCGUCACUGAUAAGUUUUAUGUAGACGAACCGCGCGACUGGCGUAUCAAAAUUAUAAGCUUGGUACCUUUGAUAACUAAUAAUACAUCCUUGGCUGUCAAAUAUUCGGUUGUGAGCGUUCCUGAUGAAGGCCGGUAAAUCUAGAAAAGCGUUUCGGACGCAUGGAAUUUCUGACGUGUCGUUUUAUUAUUUUUACAACUCACUUGAUGUACUAUGAUACUUUUAUUUAAUCCCUACCGACAGAUAUUAGCAUUUACAAGUUUCUGUCAAAGAACCCCUUUUCUUUUUGCAAUCGUUUUGCAAUCGUUUUUUAUGAAAAGAUAAGGAAAAACAAAAGUAGCUUUACAGCGUACAAUAUAAAAAUGUGCUACUAGUAUUACAAAAUAUAAAUAAUUUUGUUAUUUUAACGAAUGGUAUAUCACUAUUAAAUCACAACCUUUUUCGGUAUGCUAUUUUGUUUGUAUAUCUAUUAAUCACUUAUCGAUGUCAAACAAUAUUGAUGCAACGAUGGUGAUAAUAGCAGAAAUAAUGACAAAAGCAAACGCAAAAUGAAGAUUUUCCGUCGUACAUGUAGUAGUUCAUAAAACGU
rnacentral:lncRNA from 1 species